AAUUAUAUAGUUUAAUAUAAAACAUUAUAUUUUCAAUAUAAAACUAAUAUUUAUUAUUUAUAAUUA
rnacentral:tRNA from 1 species